rnacentral:lncRNA from 1 species
UCCUCCGUUCAUUUAGUCGUGUGCUGUCCUUUAGUACAGCGAGUAAUCUCUUCGUGUGAGAAAUUGUUAGAAAACCGUGCAAAAUGAAUCCUGGAUCAGAAGGCCUCAACUUGGUCGCCACGUACUGCAUCCUUCUGUUGCUGCUGAUCUCUCUGUGGCUUCUCUAUUCAGCAUUUUAAAUUGCAAUUACAUGGUCAGAGCAAGACAAAAAUAGAGACCAAUACAAAAUGGCGGAUAGACGAACGCUGUAAAAAAAUACAUUUAAUUUUAAGAAACCGUAAUUUUAGUAUUAAGUUAACUCUAUUAUAAGCAAUGAUGUAUACACCCAAGCAUUUAUACAAAGCGAACAUGAAUCACGGACCAUCAAGGGGAAGGAGCUCAAUGUUACUCGGAUACUUCGAAAUCGGGAUUUUAUUUGUAAGCAAGCGAAACACCACAGGCACAGUGCUGGGCAUUCCAAGUUAAUUAAAAACUAAAAAUGUAUUACAUAAAACAUGAAAGACAACUAUUUAAAUCGUCAACAUAACAUCCAGUGAAAUUAUGUUAUUGUAACAUGUUUUGUCGUUUGGUGCAGUUCGACUAUUUUAGAAUGUUAUUACUUAUUUGUUGUUAAGAACUAAGUUUUUGUAAUAAAGUUUUUUUAAGAAAUA